GUGCUUGCUUUGGCACCACAUAUCCUAAUAUUGGAACAAUACGGAGAGAAGUUGAGCAUGGCACCUGCGCGAGGAUGACAUGCAAAUUCGUGAAGCAUUCUGUAUUUGU